CUCAAAUCAGGUAGGACUACCCGCUGAACUUAAGCAUAUCAAUAAGCGGAAAGAAAA
rnacentral:rRNA from 1 species